rnacentral:rRNA from 1 species
CACGUAGUUAGCCGGCGCUUCUUAUCCAGGUACCCUCAACACCACCAAAACGUAGUGCCUUGUUCCCUGACGAAAGAGGUUUACAACCCGAAGGCCUUCAUCCCUCACGCGGCGUCGCUGCAUCAGGCUUGCGCCCAUUGUGCAAUAUUCCCCACUGCUGCCUCCCGUAGGAGUCUGGGCCGUAUCUCAGUCCCAGUGUGACCGUCCACCCUCUCAGGCCGGCUACCCGUCAAAGCCUUGGUAGGCCAUCACCCCACCAACAAGCUGAUAGGCCGCGAGCCCAUCCCUUACCAGAAAAAAAUAACCUUUCCAAACCAACCCACGCAGGCUAGUCAGAAUAUCCCGUAUUAGCUACCCUUUCGAGCAGUUAUCCAGAAAAGUAAGGGGCAGGUUACUCACGUGUUACUCACCCGUUCGCCACUAAUCAACCAAGCAAGCUUGGAUUUUCGUCGACUUGCAUGUGUUAAGCACGCCGCCAGCGUUCGUCCUUGAGCCAGGAUCAAACUCU